rnacentral:rRNA from 1 species
AUUGAACGCUGGCGGCGUGCCUAACACAUGCAAGUCGAGCGGUAACAGGUGUAGCAAUACAUGCUGACGAGCGGCGAACGGGUGAGUAAUGCUUCGGAAUCUGCCCAUGUAGUGGGGAAUAACCAGCCGAAAGGUUGGCUAAUACCGCAUACGACCCUUGCCCACAAGGCAAAGGUGAAAGCAGGGGAUCGCAAGACCUUGCGCUAUUGGAUGAGCCGAAGUCGGAUUAGCUAGUUGGUAGGUAACGGCCUACCAAGGCGACGAUCCGUAGCUGGUCUGAGAGGACGACCAGCCACACUGGGACUGAGACACGGCCCAGACUCCUACGGGAGGCAGCAGUGGGGAAUAUUGGACAAUGGGGGCAACCCUGAUCCAGCGACGCCGCGUGUGUGAAGAAGGCCUGCGGGUUGUAAAGCAC